rnacentral:rRNA from 1 species
CCUACGGGAGGCAGCAGUAGGGAAUCUUCGGCAAUGGGGGAAAGCCUGACCGAGCAACGCCGCGUGAAUGAAGAAGGCCUUCGGGUUGUAAAGUUCUUUUAUAAGGGAAGAAAGGAGUUAGGAUGAAAUGACUAUCAAUUGACGGUACCUUAUGAGAAAGCAACGGCUAACUACGUGCCAGCAGCCGCGGUAAUACGGAGGUGGCGAGCGUUAUCCGGAAUGAUUGGGCGUAAAGAGCGCGCAGGUGGUUAUUUAAGUCUGGUGUGAAAGCCCAGGGCUUAACCGUGGAAUGUCAUUGGAAACUGGUUGACUUGAGUGCAGAAGAGGGGAGUGGAAUUCCAAGUGUAGCGGUGAAAUGCGUAGAGAUGUGGAGGAACACCAGUGGCGAAGGCGGCUUCCUGGUCUGCAACUGACACUGAGGCGCGAAAGCGUGGGGAGCAAACAGGAUUAGAUACCCCUGUAGUC